CCUACGGGAGGCUGCAGUAGGGAAUUUUCGGCAAUGGGGGGAACCCUGACCGAGCAACGCCGCGUGAACGAAGAAGUUAUUCGGAAUGUAACGUUCUUUUAACAGGGAAGAAAGAGAAAUUUGACGGUACCUGAAGAAUAAGCUCCGGCAAACUACGUGCCGGCAGCAGCGGUAAUACGUAGGCAGCGCGCGGUAUCGGAAAUUAUGGGGCGAAAAGGGUCCGAAGAUGGCAUAGUAGGUAUUUUUGAAAAAUGCUGGGCUAAACCCAGUAGGGCAAAAGAUACUGCAAAGCUAGAGUAUGACAGAGGCAAGUGGAACUACAGGUGUAGCGGUAAAAUGCGUAAAUAUAUGUAAGAACACCAGUGGCGAAGGCGGCUUGCUGGGUCGAUACUGACAUUGAGGCACGAAAGCGUGGGGAGCAAACAGGAUUAGAUACCCGAGUAGUC
rnacentral:rRNA from 1 species